rnacentral:SRP_RNA from 1 species
GCUGGGUGUGGUGGUGCACACCUGUAAUCCUGGCUACUUGGAGGCUGAGGCAUGAGAAUCACUUGAACCCAGGAGGUGGAGGUUGCAGUGAGCCGAAAUCAUGCCAUUUCAUUCCAGCCUGGGCAACAGAGUGAGACUCUGUCUCAA